rnacentral:rRNA from 1 species
ACGGGAGGUAGCAGUGAGGAAUAUUGGUCAAUGGUCGGAAGACUGAACUAGCCAAGUCGCGUGCAGGAAGACGGUCCUAUGGAUUGUAAACUGCUUUUGUACGGGAAUAAAGUGCGGGACGUGUCCCGUUUGGAAUGUACCGUAAGCAUAAGGGUCGGCUAACUCCGUGCCAGCAGCCGCGGUAAUACGGAGGACCCGAGCGUUAUCCGGAUUUAUUGGGUUUAAAGGGUGCGCAGGCGGAGGAUUAAGUCAGCGGUGAAAUUUUCAGGCUCAACCUGAAAACUGCCAUUGAUACUGGAGCACUUGAGAGAAGUCGAGGAUGGCGGAAUGUGAUGUGUAGCGGUGAAAUGCUUAGAUAUGUCACAGAACACCGAUUGCGAAGGCAGCUGUCCAGAGAUCUUCUGACGCUCAGGCACGAAAGCAUGGGUAUCAAACAGGAUUAGAUACCCUGGUA